UACGGAGGGUGCGAGCGUUGUCCGGAAUCACUGGGCGUAAAGGGUGUGUAGGCGGGCUUUUAAGUCAGUGGUGAAAUCUCCGGGCUCAACCUGGAAACUGCCAUUGAUACUAUUAGUCUUGAAUUCUGUUGAGGUAGGCGGAAUAAGUCAUGUAGCGGUGAAAUGCUUAGAUAUGACUUAGAACACCAAUUGCGAAGGCAGCUUACUAAACAGAUAUUGACGCUGAGGCACGAAAGCGUGGGGAUCAAACAGG
rnacentral:rRNA from 1 species